rnacentral:rRNA from 1 species
UACGUAGGGGCCUAGCGUUGUCCGGAUUUAUUGGGCGUAAAGAGCUCGUAGGCGGUUUGGUAAGUCGGGUGUGAAAUCUCCACGCUCAACGUGGAGGGCCACCCGAUAGCUGCCAUGACUGGAGUCCGGUAGGGAGUGUGGAAGUUCCCGGUGUAUCGGUGAAAUGCGCAGAUAUCAGGAAGAACACCAAUGGCGAAAGCAGCUUCUGGGACGGUACUGACGCUGAGACGCGAAGCGUGGGAGCGAACAGG